ensembl:snRNA U6 U6 spliceosomal RNA
GUACUUGCUUCAGCAGCACAUAUACUAAAAUUGGAAUGAUACAGAGAUUAGCAUGCCCCGCAAAAAGAUGACAUCUAAAUUCAUGAAGCAUUCCAUACACAA